GAUGAAGAACGCAGCGAAAUGCGACAAGUAAUGUGAAUUGCAGAAUUCCGUGAAUCAUCGAAUCUUUGAACGCACAUUGCGCCCUUUGGCAUUCCGAAGGGCAUGCCUGUUCGAGCGUCAUUAUCACCCCUCAAGCCCCCGGCUUGGUGUUGGACGGUUUGGCGGAGGCCCCUCACCGGGCCCUCGCCCCUCCCAAAGACAAUGACGGCGGCCUCGUUGGACCCCCGGUACACUGAGUUCUUCACGGGACACGUACUGGAGUAAGGGUGCGCGGGGCACGGUCUGCCUCCCCUUCAAGGGAGAACUUUUUUUUACAAGGUUGACCUCGGAUCAGGUAGGGAUACCCGCUGAACUUAAGCAUAUCAAUAAGCGGAGGA
rnacentral:misc_RNA from 1 species